UUUUUCUAAAAGUGGAAUUUCAUUCGUAUCUUAUACCACCCUUUCUUACACAAUCCCACAAAUUUCCAACCAGCUUUUCUAGCAAGAAAUCCAACCCUUUUACAUGAUAUCCAAUUAUGGCGCUUUUGUUGAUGAUGUCUAUGCCUUGAAUCAUCAUCUAAAAGCGGUUGAUAAUCUUUUUGCCUCAAAUAAUCUAAAAGAGAUUGUCUUGGCGAUUUUGAAUCCAUAACGCAAAUGUAUAAGCUAAGAGGGAUCUUUAGAUUAAUUAGAUUAUAACCUUUUCUGAAAAAGAAAUAAGAAAAGGUAAUAGAAAAUUAAAGGGAUUAUAAGGGGCGAUGCCUUCUAUAUAAUACUAAAUCAUUACACAACUCUUGUUCUUUGAUUUCUUCUAUGUUGUCUUUUUAUAUUGCAUGUUUUUGUUGGAC
rnacentral:lncRNA from 1 species